GAGCUGCGCCUGCCCUUGCUGGCACCCAGCGAGCUGGCAACGCUGGAGAGCCAAAACCAGCGCGACCUGCUCAUCCCAGUGAGUUGUGGGGUGCCCCGUUGCUUCUUGGGGAUGCCACGGGGCUGGUUUGGGGUACGCGCACUGACAUCCCCGUCUGGGCAGGUGGAUAGCAUUGCGGCAGCCUGGCGGUCCCACGCGCUGCGGCAUGGAAGCGGGGUGCCCUCCCACCUCUGUCGGCCCCGGCACGGCACACGGCCCCGCAACCACCACCGCCACUUGGACCCACACAGCAAAUUCGGAGCAGGAUAGGAGGAUCGUCCUGGUGCGGGGCUCGGGCAGCCCAAGGAUGGGGUGGGGGCACAGGAUGAGCCCCCAUUGAACCUUAUCCCAGCCGCAUCCUAUCCUUCCCUGGGGCAGUGCUGCCCUCCGCUGGCAGCAGGGCUGUGCUACAGGAGCGCACCAGGGCCCCCGCAUGGCGGAGAUGGAGAAGGGGCUCAGCAGGGCAUGAGGCAGCGCCCGGCCCCACGUCCAGCACUGCCUGGGCUGCGAAAUCCCCACCACCACCACCGCCCCGCUUUGCACAGCCCAUUGCGCACACAGCUGUGUACAUCUCAUCCCACCCCCCCGAGCUGUGCCCCCCAGGAGGCAGGGUCAGACGCAGCGCAUAAUUUAUAUAUAAUAUAUAUAUUUACUCUUUAAAAAUAAACCUUCAGUCCCCACUACCGCCUGUACAAACUACAAAAAUAAACCUUUGCUCUCUUUGAUAUAAAUAACUUAGAUGGCGUGGUUGGGGGGGGGGGGGCUGCCCACCGUGCCCACGCCUGGCACGGGGACGAGGACCCCAGGGCCACCCCAGCACAGCGGCAGUGUCAGGGGGCCAGGGCAGUGGGCACAGCAACACCGCUGGAGUUAAAGUGCUGGGUAACGGCGCGGACGGUGCCCGGGAUGGGGAUGGGGGUUGGCAGGGGGAGACGGCCCCAUUGCAUGGGCACGGGGCAAGAAAGUUGCUUUCCCAGCUGGAUGAGGCCGGUGGCAGUGUGGGUGCCCUACACCGGGCAGAGCUGUGAUGGUGGGACAUCGCAGGGGCUUGGCACAGCGAGGAGCACCCCAAGGACCCCUCCCCCCCCCCCCCCAAAUCCAGCAAUAGGCUCCCCGGCACGGCCCCCAGCUCUGUCCCUCCUGUGCUCACUGGUAGGGAAACUGAGGCACAGAGAGGGUGGGGGGAGAUGGGGCUGCCCCUCGCUACCCCACCCCAGGCAGCCUGACAAGGCCCUCGGCUGAGAAAUAAAUCUUUUAAAAUAAGCUUAAAAAUAUAUAUCUCUCUAUAGAUAGUUUCCCUUUGCAAAUAAAUAAAGGUGGGGGAUGCCUAUCCUGGGCCUUGCCCACGGCUCCGGGGCACCUGCCAUAUCGGGCAGGGGGGCACCAGGGGUAAGGCAGCCCAGCAGGUGGCCGGGGGGGGGAUCCCAGGAGGAGGUGAUGGGGAGCAGGCAGUGGCCCCCUGGAGGGAGGUGGCAGGGCAGAGGGCCGGGCGCUGCGCCCCCUGUGCCAGCAGCUCCAGAAACAGAGGGGGAGUUAGUGCUUCCAUUUCUGGGGAGCACAGGCGCAGGGUGACCCCAAGGCACGUGGGGAGACACGGCCCUGUUGGCACAGCGUGGCCUGCACACAGCUUGCAUAGGAAUGCCAGCCUGCCCUGCCAAGCCUGGGUGUGGGGCUACGGGGGGGCCGAUCCUCUUCGGCUGAGACCGGAGCAUCGCCACUGGGGCGAUUAGCAGCACAACACGGGCGAGCCCGCUCUGCACCCUCUGUGCCACGCUGGGAGCUGCCAGCCUGGGUGCCAUCCAUGGAGCU
rnacentral:lncRNA from 1 species